UACGGAGGAUCCAAGCGUUUAUCCGGAUUUAUUGGGUUUAAAGGGUGCGUAGGCGGCUUAUUAAGUCAGGGGUGAAAGACGGUGGCUCAACCAUCGCAGUGCCCUUGAUACUGAUGAGCUUGAAUACACUUGAGGUAGGCGGAAUGUGACAAGUAGCGGUGAAAUGCAUAGAUAUGUCACAGAACACCAAUUGCGAAGGCAGCUUACUAAGGUGCAAUUGACGCUGAGGCACGAAAGCGUGGGGAUCAAACAGG
rnacentral:rRNA from 1 species